UACAGAGGUCCCAAGCGUUGUUCGGAUUCAUUGGGCGUAAAGGGUGCGUAGGCGGCGCGGUAAGUCGGGUGUGAAAUCUCGGGGCUUAACUCCGAAACUGCAUUCAAUACUGCUUCGCUAGAGUACUGGAGAGGAGGCUGGAAUUUACGGUGUAGCAGUGAAAUGCGUAGAUAUCGUAAGGAAGGCCGGUGGCGAAAGCGAGCCUCUGGACAGUUACUGACGCUGAUGCACGAAGGCCAGGGGAGCAAACGGG
rnacentral:rRNA from 1 species